rnacentral:rRNA from 1 species
CAGUAGCCACGGUAAUACAGAGGGUGCAAGCGUUAAUCGGAAUUACUGGGCGUAAAGCGCGCGUAGGUGGUUUGUUAAGUUGGAUGUGAAAUCCCCGGGCUCAACCUGGGAACUGCAUUCAAAACUGACUGACUAGAGUAUGGUAGAGGGUGGUGGAAUUUCCUGUGUAGCGGUGAAAUGCGUAGAUAUAGGAAGGAACACCAGUGGCGAAGGCGACCACCUGGACUAAUACUGACACUGAGGUGCGAAAGCGUGGGGAGCAAACAGGAUUAGAUACCCCCGUAGUCCCUGUCUCUUAUAC